rnacentral:rRNA from 1 species
CAAUUGAAGAGUUUGAUCAUGGCUCAGAUUGAACGCUGGCGGCAGGCCUAACACAUGCAAGUCGAACGGUAACAGGAAGUACUUGUACUUUGCUGACGAGUGGCGGACGGGUGAGUAAUACUUAGGGAUCUGCCCUUUGGAGGGGGAUAACCAUUGGAAACGAUGGCUAAUACCGCAUAUAGCCUACGGGCAAAAGGGGGCUUCGGCUCUCGCCAAGGGAGGAACCUAAGCGAGAUUAGCUAGUUGGUGAGGUAAAGGCUCACCAAGGCGACGAUCUCUAGCUGUUCUGAGAGGAAGAUCAGCCACACUGGAACUGAGACACGGUCCAGACUCCUACGGGAGGCAGCAGUGGGGAAUAUUGCACAAUGGGGGCAACCCUGAUGCAGCCAUGCCGCGUGUGUGAAGAAGGCCUUCGGGUUGUAAAGCACUUUCAGUUGUGAGGAAAGGUUUGCGGUUAAUACCCGUAAGCUGUGACGUUAACAACAGAAGAAGCACCGGCUAACUCCGUGCCAGCAGCCGCGGUAAUACGGAGGGUGCAAGCGUUAAUCGGAAUUACUGGGCGUAAAGCGCACGCAGGCGGUUGAUUAAGCUAGAAGUGAAAGCCCCGCGCUCAACGUGGGAAGGCCUUUUAGAACUGGUCGACUAGAGUCUUGGAGAGGGGAGUGGAAUUUCUGGUGUAGCGGUGAAAUGCGUAGAUAUCAGAAGGAACAUCAGUGGCGAAGGCGACUCUCUGGCCAAAGACUGACGCUCAUGUGCGAAAGUGUGGGUAGCGAACAGGAUUAGAUACCCUG